UGGCUGCCGCGCCCCCAUCCCCUCCACCACCUCUGCCGGCCGCCACACCACCAUCUCCUCCACUUCCGCCGCGCCCCCAUCUCCUCACUAACCCUUUCUCCGACUUCCAUGCCCUUCACCGUAGCCACUGCCGCCAUCUCCUCCGCCCCCCGCCCAUCCCCUCCUCCGCCACACUCCGUUGCAACACACUCCCCUCUACUGCCGACAUCCCCCCUGCCCAUCAUCCAUCCGAUCUCCUUCUCAAGCUCAUGACCACGCGGGUAAACCAGGCGUCCGCGCCGAUGGCAGCUCACCUCCCCGGGGCCUCCCCCGCCCCGGAUCCCACUUGAGCAUCUUCUUCGUUGGAUCCGGCUCCGCGGCGGCGGCAGAGGCUUACCUACCAUGGUGAUGACUACAGGAUCUGUCGACUUGGAGGUUGGAGCGAUGAUUUGCAUUUUGGAAGCAUUCUGAUUAACCUGCGGAUUUCCCAAUGGUGUGCACGCUUGAGGCUUGCCUAUAUCAGAUUCAAUCUCUACUUCGACAUGCAUGGGCUGUAGGUUGUAGGGUACAUCAAAAUUUUGCAUGUAGGACCUGAAUGCGCUAAAAAAUAAAUCGGGAUUAUUGUUACCUAUUAAGGCUCGAUUACUGAUACCUGUUCAGCCGUAGUGGUUGAAGUAAUUUACUGAAGAUUGCUACAAUGCUACCAUAUUAUUGAGACGGUAGUGAUCGCGCGCUACGAGGAAGUCCUGAAGAGAAGGAUGCAAGAAAAGAAGUCCAAUAGUGAUUGUGCAUUGCAGAUAUGAAUUGCAAACUACAAAGAGGGUUGUGCACCAGAAAAAUGGAGCUAGGCUCGAGACUUCUGGCUGCUAAAGGACUUUCACUUGUUUAUGUUUGUUUUGAUCGGUAAACAUAUGAUUGUAUUUGGACACAUAUGAUUAGGUUUGGGUGUAAUUUUUGGCUAUAAGUCUGUAUUGGAUGUUCACUGGGUUGUAUUGGAUGUUAACUGGGCUAUAUUUGUAUGGGCUGCUAUUUGGUAAA